UUGCUAUUUUCUGUUGUGCAAAGUUCUGCAACAGGCUGUACUUGGGCUGGUUUUGACGGGUGAUUUUAAAGGAGCAGCUUUAGCAGUGAAUGGGCCUCUGGGUCCUCUAGUGCCUGCACUGAAACUUCUCAGCUAUUGGGAUACAUUCUAGCUUCAAAGUUUGGAUUGAAGAGGGAAGCAAACCUGUCUUCACCUAUUCUAGAGCACCACCUUCUGGAAAUGAAGUGCUUCUCUAUGUGUCAAAAGCAGCCCAUUUGGAUUGGUGUAAUCAUGAUUUGGUACUGAGAAGAGCCAUGGAUCAUGAGAUGCACGUCUCCAUCCACCACCCUGACCCAUUACAGUUAAAGACACUGAUACAUGGCAAAUGCUGAGUUGAAUAUUCUUCCAUGGAAACUAUUCAGAUGAUUCAGAAGGCUGCUGCUAUCGACAACUGGUGAUUGGCAGCUUCAUCAUGAUGAUGGGCCCGCUCGUGUAUUCAUGUCUUGUACAAAGUUUUUUGGUGAAACAUCAAAUCACCCAGGUAGCCAACUCAGCUCCCUUCAGCCCAGAUAUGGCAUACUGGGACUUCUGGAUUUUCCUGAAACUAAAAUCAACUUUGAAAGGAAAGAGAUGUCAGACUGUAGAUGAGAUCCAGGAAAAGAUGAUGGGGCAGCUGAUGGCGAUUAGAACUGUGUGAGGUCCUAAGGUGCCUACCUUGAAAGAGACUGAGGCAUCAUUUUCCUAUGUAUGAUGUUUCUUAUAUCUUGUAUUUUCUUCAACAAAUGUCUCUAUUUUUCAUUUUACAUGGCUCGAUAACUUCUGCACACAACAGUCAGCCUUUUUCUUACUAAUUCUUAAUAUAUCAAGUUAAUUAAACUUGCAAUUAACUAGAUUUCAGAUUUAAGUCCGGGGCAGCCCACAUUUUCCACCCUCAAGCAAAUAUUUUCUCUAUGUAAGCACUGAAAAGUUUUUAAAGGAAGCUUUGAUAUUUCUCUGUUGGAAUCCUAUUGAGUUAAAGAAAGGUAUGUAAAGAAAAGUUUUUUUUUAUGACUGUCCUAUUUCUGGAAUUUCAACUCUGAGAAAUGUGAGGUGUUUCUGAGGUUUAAUUUUUAAAAAAUAAAUACAUCAGUCAAAGAUUAAAAAAAUCUCUAAUUCCUGGUUUAAUUCUGUUCACUUGAAGUCAAUGUGAAAUAUAUGCUAAUAUAUCUUUAUAUCAAAUGAUCUUUAUGUUUUCCUACCAACCUUGGGCUAAAUUUAGAGGAGCAAAUUUGUUGUGCAUGGAUAACCACUCAUCCCCAUGACAGAUAUCACUAACUGACCUGGCUCCAUUUCUUAGUGAUCCAGGAAGCGGUAUGUGCAACACUUUGCUCCAAACAGUUACUCUCAAUAGCAGGGUUUGUUUAUGAAAUGAAGCUUAUACAUUAUUAUUGAGGCUCCGGAGAAACCACAACAAGGUUAUUAUCAUUUUUCUUUAUUAUCAGUAAAUUAAUUUUCUUACAUCAAUUUCUUUACUUUCAAUAUUAUCAUUUUUCUUUCCAUAACCAAUAAUAACCAAUGAGAAAAGUAUGUGUAAGUAUAAUAUCAAUUUUAAAGGAUAAAUAAAAAGAUAUGAUAUUUUGAUAUGUGUAAUGCACAUUUUUUGCCUAACUUUUUGAGGGGAAAAAUAAGGAUGCACAUUAUACAUGAGUACAACAAUUAGGUACCAUGGGUAUAAUAAUCCCAUGUAUAAUUUGCACAAAGUGUGGGUGCACAUUAUACAAGGCAAAAUACGGUAGUUGCUUUAUUGAUAUAAUUUAAAUUAGCAGUUAGGGCUGGUAGUUUCAAACUAUCUUCUAUUAAAUUAUACCAUUAGAUAUUCAUUCUUUGAAAGUAAUUCUUAUUCAACAAGAAAUACCAUCAAGAGUUCAAACAUAAUAGCAUGCCAGUUAUUAAGAAUUUUUAUCACAUUUAUUUCCUAAAAACAUCAGGCACUUUAGGAACAUCUUUUCUUGGACAGAAGGAGAAAGAGAUUGGCAGACCAGAUUUUUGAGCACAUGUUGAGACCAAAGAGAGCAAUACCCAUAGCAAGAGAAAAUAGAAGAUUGAUUACUUUUUCUAGGAUGAAAUCCAACAGUCUUCAAACCUUUUAGGCGCCAGAUUAUUAUGUUCUGUGUGCUCAGUUCUGCAGUCCUAAUAACAAAAAGCACUCCUUUGGGUCAGAGAGAUUUAGAUGAAAAUAGUUUGUUGGAAUUGUUCCAUUGAUUCAUUAUUAUGCUUCAAUUAGAGUAGCACAGAGGGAAGAAAUUGAGGGGAAAUUGCAAAUAAAACAAAAUUCCCUUGAGAAAUAAAUUUAAAGCCAAUAUAAUGAGUCAGAGCAGAGAUAAAAUAACGCAUUUUUUGCCCAAAUUUUUGAGGGGAAAAAUCGGUGAGAUACAUGACAAGAGCAAGACAUGUCCCAAAGUAUGAGCCACAGUAUGAGAGAGGACUCUCUACAAUAAACACUGAAAUUAUCUCCUGGGGGGGGCAGGAAAUAAUUAUCUCCAUUGUUGCACAGGCUCCCUCAGCUACAUGAGUGUUCUAGAAACCCAUCUGUACCAGUGUACCUAGCUGGUGUUGUUGUGAGAGGCUGGGUUCUGCUUCAGUGAAUUUUGUUUAGAAGACUCUUUCAAUAUGUUUGUCCAUUUCAUCAUGGGUGACUUACGUGGGCACCUGACCACACCAUGCUGCGUGUUCAGCAAUUUUCGACCCAAAAUGGCACAAUCCCCAUGCCCCACCCUCCCUAUUCACCAGAUCUCACCCCAAGUGACAUUUUUUUUGUUGUUUCCCCAGAUGAAAAAAAAAGUCCUCCAAAAGAAACAUUUUUCUGAUGUGGGAGAGGUGAAACAAAAAAGACAGAAGCCCUAAAAGGCAUCACAAUUGACAAGUUCAAAAACUAUUAUGAGCAGUAGAAAAACUAUCUUGAUAGGUAUAUUGCAUCAAAUAGAGAGUACUCUGAAGGUGACUGAGGUUUAAACAUGUAAGAAUAAAUACACAACUUUUUUUGUAAAUAAAUUCUGGGUUUUGGGGUUCCCCUUCAUUUUGUCUUUAUAUAUAAUAAAUGAGCAACAAAUAUAAAGAGUAUGGUGAUCUUAAGGGUGAUUGAUAUGUACAAAAUAUCAGCUAUUGAGUCAAAGCUGGGGAGCCUGUCCAGAUUUUGCCCAUGUUCAUUGGUAAAGCUUGUUUUGUUUGCAAGUUGGUUUAGGAGUGGGGUGGGAAAAUAGAGAAAAUUUACUGGUUUAUAUAAUUAAAAUGUUAAGAGAUAUAGUUGACUUCAGACACUGCUUGAUCUAAGAUUCCAGAAUUCGGUUUUUCUUUCUUCCUGUUUCAGAAUUUUGAAUUUUUUCUUCCUUCCUGUUUCCUUUCUGUCUGCACCAUUCUUACAUGUCCUUGGUAGCUCUCGUGUAUCACUGCCAUAGUUUACACAGUACAGAACAGUAAUUCCCGGUCCCUACUAGUUCUCACUAGUUGAAUCUCACGGACGGAUGGGUCUAACUUCUGCUUCCUUUGGAUUUUGGGCAUACCUCAAAAGAAUAUCCACACAUGCUGGGAGAAGAAACUGGAGCCUUUUGAGUAUACAUAAUUUGGAGGCUUUCUCGAUCUCUAGUACUGGGAGAUAAAAGAGGUCAAUAGCCCCCCAACCCCAAAUGUGUGGGAAACUGAGUUUAUGAGAGUUCCCUCUGAGAUAUCAAGAAAAAUGCUGGCACGUUAAGAGCUGUGAGAAGUCCUGCAGUGAGGAGACGAAUUUCUAGAAUUUAUUGAUUACACAUUAUGUUUUACAGAGCUUUUCAUUUUUAUUAGCCCAUUGCAAUAUGAUAUAGGAAAUUGUGAGAUAGAUGAUCUCCAACAUAAAAAUGAAUGAUUCUCAUCAUCUCAGUCUAUUGCCAUUCAAUAUUCAAAUGAUAAUGUUUCUAUUUUUGUGCUUCAGAGUUGCCCAAGCAAACAAUUGAUUUUACUUUAAAUUUCUAUAUAAGUCAAAGUUUGGGAAGAACACGUCCUAGUUUUCACCAGCAGAAAAUUUCAGCAUGCAUGACAGUCAUUUUGCCAAUGACAAAUUACUAAAUUGGACUCUGCUUUAUACGUCAGUGAUGGAACAGAAAGUCACAAAGGUAUCCAGACAAAACUUGACAAUUUUAUGAUAUGAUAUUGAAAUUAUCCUAUGGAGUCCAUAGUGAAGUAUUGUGCCCAAUGCAUAUACCAUGCAAUUGCAUUGUACAUGAGAUAAGAAGCAGCUCAAUGCAAGUCCACCCAUUGGAUUUCCACUCUCCUAGACAGCACAUGGAAAAACCUUUUUCCUAAGGAACUGACCAACCCCAAAAAAGAAAUUCUCCACAAUCUGCCUUGGGGAGAUGGCCUCAUGAAAAUGCUUUCUUCAUGGGCUAAUUUUAAAUUAAGUCAAUGAAGAAGAUGGUAUUUAUUGUUCAGUCCUUCAGUGGAUGUAAGAGAUCUUCAUUUUAGAAAGAGCAUUCUUGUCAUGUGGAGAAUGAAUUGCUUACUUACUGGAGGUGAGACAGCAGAUCUGGAGGUUGAUAAGCCUAGAGGAACGUCCUUCCUCCUUCUGGAAUAAGGCUCUCAUAAAAGUCUUUUUUCCUGGAAGAAGCGCACGUCGAUGUUAUCAUCUCAAACAAUAUCAGGAAAACCUGCUGGUCCCACGUGUCCACAGCACUGCAAUGGAUGAUGGACAGGAAUUCAUUUUGGAAAUCACUGCAAACCUCGUGUCUGCUGCUUGCCCAUGUGCGUCCUUGAAACCACCGUCAUGAAUAGGGGCUUCUUUUUUUCUUCUGACUUUCAGAUGCUGAGUGACAGGCUCUCACUGUCAGACCCUGACAUAGGACCACUGGGCAGGGUCUCUCACACGACUCGGGGGAGAAUGUAAGUAGUGAAUAGGGAGUGGAGUUGACCAUAAGUCCAUCUGAUAAACAGUAAAAAGAUAGAACUCGAUGUGUUGGGAAGAUGUGUAUGAUUACUUUAGAAUAUUUAACUAGUUUCAAAUUCUUAGUUGUUAAUGCUUAUAGAUGACUGCUGUGAAACAAGUGAUCUCUUUACUGCAAUUUAAAGCCAACUAUUAAAUCUCUCUUGAGAUUUAAUAACAGUUUAAAGUUAUUUUGACAUAAAACCAUUUUGCGAUUUGUAUUCAAGGACAGGCAACGGAAGUCUAAGAAGCUAGAAAAAUAUAUUGUAUAUGAAUGUAACAGACAAGGCACUAAUUUUAGGCAAAAAAUCUGAGAGUGAAACCUCAUUGUUUGCCAAAGCUGUGGUGGAUUCAUGUAUUUAUACUGCUGUAUAAAAAUAUCUAGUAGAUUUUUAAAAGAUUAACUUGGAAAAUCGCUCAAUGUAAUUUCAACUGUUAUAUGUUCUUGAAUUCCCAUCUUCACUUUCGAAACAGUAAAAAACAAAAACCUUUAGUUUUUACUUUAGAAAAGUGAAGAAUAUUUGUAGUAGUUGAAGCAAAGAUUUGUUUUUUAUAGAGUAAGGUCACCAUCUUGUGGUGUUUUCAGAUAUUGCUGCUAACAGUAUUUAAGGGUGUUUUUAUAUUUACUGAUAAUAUGAAAGUACCACUACUAUUGUCCUACUUGUUUCAAUCAGGGUGAAAUGCAUUUAGCCUCAACACAAGCACUUUGGUUUCAAUCUUUCUAUAACUAAUUGCUUCAAAACACAUUUUAAAAUGAUUUUAUUUUAAAAGAUACUUAUUACACAGAUGGCUUUCAGUAAGUUUCAUACUACCUAAAAGUUAUUUAUUUGCAGUUAUUGUCUGCUUCUUCCUUAUAAGUGGGCCCUGCAAGAGUAGAGACACUGUUUUGUUCACAGAUGAAUCUCCAGAGCCUAUGGCCUAGGACACUGCUGGGCACAGAGUCAGGCCAGCAAACAAAUAAGGGACCAAUGAAUGCAGGUGUAAUGAGUGGAUGCUUUCUACCUUUGGUAACUAUCUGAAGACAAAUCAGUUCCAGAAAUUCCCUGUUUUUGUAUCAAACCAUAGAAAUCAGAACUUGUUUUUGUUUCAAACAACCAAAUUAGUAUGUCCUCUUUUAGUGUGUAAGAGAUUUUAGUGUUUUGUUUCCUUUAUAACAAAUAUUUUGUAAUGUCACCUCAUUUGGAUAACAUACUGAUAACUUGAUUUUGUUUUAAUUAAUCAUAUUUAGAAAAUAUCUUGGUUUGUAAGCAAAUAAACCUGGCUCACUGUGGGUGAUACACAGAAGCACACAGAGUGGAGACAGCCUUUGGAGGCAGUCAGAAUGACCUGUGUUGCUAGCAGGGUGAAUUUGGGAGAAACUAAACUGUCUGAGCCCCAACUUUUCUCUUCUGAUAUUGGAGAGAACAACAACCUCUUUCAUAGUAACUAGAGAAACUAGAAAUAUUAGCUUUUAUUAAUUAGAAUAUUUGAUUAUUUGAAAUUAACAGGUUGCUUCCCCCAGUUAAAUCAGGCCUCAAACAUUUAAGGGGGAUAUAUUUUGUCAGGUAUCACGCUAGUCUUAGUUGGGGGAGGUGUGAAUAUGUUUGACACAGUCUUCCUUCUAAGAUGCUUAUAAUUGCUUGAAUCAAAAUAAUUAAGAACAGAAAGUUAAUAUUGUCUGUUCUGUUUUGAAACUCCAGUUAAUUCCAAGCCCUGACAUUUAUUAAAAUGAUGUUUAACUAAAAUUUUUUGGAACUUAAAAAUGUAAAUAAAUAAUUAAUAUUUUAGUAUUAUAGUUUAGAAAUAGAUUAUUUUAAUAAACAGCAAUAUAUUUUCAAACCUAUAAAGUGUUUUAAAAUUAUGAUCAUGCUGAAUGAGCAGAGCUCACAAUGUAAUAGCAUCUCCCUCCUUUUUCCUCCCGCCAUCAUCCCUUUAAAAUGCAUUCAGUUGGGGUAAGUAUUUCUUAGCUUUGUAUGAAAACUUUGGUGGGUUCCCUUUUUGUGUGUUUUCUUAUAGGUAAGUUUCAAGACAUUUUAAUUUGCAAAUGCUGUCGUAAUUUAGUAAUUGGAAUGUCAAAAAUAAAAACAUCAAACUUGAUUUGUCUUGUCCUUUACUGAGAUGUUUCAAGUUCUCCAUCACUAGCUCCAAUAUUGCCUUUUAUCAUGUUCAGGGCAGAGGGAGGGUGGAAGGUAAGGAGAGUGGGUAAUCUCUGCCUGGGGACCCUUCCCUAGUUUCCCACCUUGGCAGCUGGCUAAAGCUAACUCUCUACAGGGCUCAGUAGAGGAUUUUUUGCUGAGUCCUUCUUCCCUGAAGUUCCCUGAAGUUCAUAUGGAUGACUGCUUGUGACUCUCAGGAUAUCAGGAAUUGUACUUCCAGCUUCCUUCUGGAUCCAGUUUGAUGAAAAAAAUUCUCAAAAAGAACGUUUUCCGGAUGUGGAAGAGGUGAAACAAAAAAUGGCAGAAUCACUAAAAGGCAUCAAAAUCGACAAGUUCAAAAACUGUUUUGAGGAGUGGAAACACCUCAAUAGGUGUAUCGCAUCCAAUGGAGAGUAUUUUGAAGGCGACUGAAGUUUAAACAUGAAACUUCGCAAUUUUCACUCUCUCUUUCGGAUAAUUAAAGCCAGUCAUUUCAAGUGCGAACUCCAGGAAGCUUUUUGGGACAAUGUUCGAGCGCAGGCCCUUGCACUGUCUCCGUCACCGCGUUCACUGCAGUUCCAGCAACAAAUUCCAGGGUUCGUGCCAUCGCGUUCUCAGGCUUCCCUAGUUUGCACCUUUCACAUCACACCACACCCCAUCCCCUUCUACUGCCUAUCUGGGAGGCUGAUAAGAGAGCCAAGUGUCCCCACAUUUGAUUUCAGCCUGAAGUUUACACACCUCAAGCCCUGGCCAUGUGCACUGAUCUGCUUCCUGUGCCCCACCAUCUCAUCAUGAUAGAGAUCAAGGUAGUUUCCAGUCCUUGCUCUCCUGAGCCACUUUGUUUCUGCUGCUGAGCCUGCACUGCUCUUCCCAGGAAGCUUCGUCAUGUGAGUUACAAGCCUUUCAGAACCUACAGUGCUUGACGUGUGCUACCAGUCUGGGCAUCCAAACCAAAUUUUUGGUUGGGGCACAUCCUGUGCCUAUGGCGGUGAAUUGCAACACUUAUUCAUGAAUAAAAUCAUGUAUACACUUAUACAUACUUUUAAGUUAACUUAAUCUAUUACUCAUUUGAUGUAUUUAUUAAUUAUUCAUACACACAUUCAAUGAUCAUUUAGUUUUAAAUGGUAGCUUUUAGUUAAAAAAUAAGAGUUUCAAAUUAAAAUGACACAAACAAUGUAAAGUUCAAAGGACAUUAUAAUGUUAAAGAACAAUAGGAGAAGUAAUUUGGAGAGAAUGAUACAACAGCCAUGAAACAUACUGACUUCAUGAAACAAGAAAUUUCAAGAUAUUAACAGAAAAAAAUAAAUGGUCUGGAGUUAAAGUGAUAUAAAUUGAUAAGAUCAAACUGAGAAAUUCCACAAAGAGCCUCCUUUAAAAUACAUAUUAGCUAAGUGAGGAAUUUAGUUUAAACAGCAAAAAAAAAAAACUUUGAAAAGAGACAAACUAUGAGAAAGAAGAUGAAAAUUGGGUCAGAAAAGAUGUAUACAAGACUAGAAACAGAAAUGUAUUUAAAAAGUAAGCACAAUGUUGAAAAGAGGAAGAGGUUGGAUAUGAAAUAGGCAAAGAAAGGAUAGAUGUGAAUAAGAAUAAGAUGUAAUAUGAAAUGAAUCCUUGAAACAAUGUAUUCUGGGAUUUUCUCAGACUCUUAGACUCUCUCACUAAGCUGGAUGCGGAAUUAAAAAGAUAGCUUCCUAUUAAAAACUUCAGAUUUUAGUUCACUAUUCUUGAAAGAAUGAAGUUAAAUUACUCAAGUUAAUAUACAUUAAACUCUAAAAAUUACAAAAAUAUAUAGGAUGCACACCUAAUGCUAAACUCAAAAUGUUCUUUUAAUAUCCAUUAGGCUCUUUCAAAUCAAACUAAAUUAUUCUGAAGGUCAUUUUACAUGAAAAACUUACUAUAGUUGUGAAUUACAAAGAUUUGAAUCACAACAUAUAAAGACUAAUUUUCUGUGCUCUAAUUUUUUAAGAGCUCUAUCAACUGAAUCUAAUUGGUAUAAUUAUCUUUUUACAGAUAGACCUUAAUUGUUUAUUUGAAUCAGAGUUUCAAAUGAUCAAGGGAAGAGCAAUUAAUUUCAUGAGUCCAGAUUUUAGGCUUUAUGGAGCUGCACUGAGACUAUUCAAGGAUUAUACUUCUAAACUGAUGUAUUGUCACAAACUGGAAUAUAAAUCAGAGAACAAAAUUAAUUAUCCUAAGUUUUAUCUGACAUUAUUCUAGGUUAUCUUACAUGAAAAAGUCUUUAAAUAAUUUACCUUAGCUUUUAAAUUCAGUCACACAAUGAUUUUCAUAGCAAUGUAUUUGAUGAAUAUAACCAUGAUGAUAAUGGUACCUGCAGGGAUGAAUAAAAUAAAGAUGAAACAGGUGAGUAUUAGAUUUUUACUUUUUUGGAAAAGAAAAGUUUGUCACAUUAAUUCCAAAAUUGAAAAACAAUGAAUACAUCUAAUAUCUCCUGUAUUUCCAGCCCUUUGAUAAAUGUUUGCCUUCCAUGGCGAGUGAAUCAUUUAGAACUAAAUCUGAUCUCUGUGUGUUGAAUGACUAAAAGUAUUUCUGAAGAGCUGCACCCCAACAUACAAUGUGACUUCAGCACUUUCUUCUUCCCCUUUUUUAUUCCUUUCAAAGGAGCGAUUUAAAUAGUAAUUGUAUAUGAAGUUUUAAUCCUAAGGGUUAUAUUGACUAAGAUGAUUGUAGCGAUGUCUCAUCGUACCAGUUUCUCCUGGUUUUCUUUUUGUCCUGAGAUGUCUAUUAGGAUGAACUGUACUGGCUUGCUUCCUUGCUCUUUUGGUUUCUAGAUGAGUGACUCCAAUGGGACCCAUGGCAGCAAAUGAGAUGGGUAACUUGGGGAUGGCUGUAUUUCUCUUAAAAAAAUCAGAAAUCUUGUUAGGUUGUGUUGUCCAAGCAGCUUCUCUCCAGCUUGUUAGGUCUCUUCCCUUUUCUUAUACCUUCAGGCUUAGAUGUGGUAACUGCUCUUGGGGAUCUUCCUGAACACAGUAAGUCAGACCUUUAUUAACAUCUCAUAAGUGUCCAAUUUUAAUACUGCAUUUAUUUCAACUGACUGGUUAAAACCCAGGUGAAAAGAAAAUUAGUGAGCUAGAAUAUAGACCAGGAGGAAAUACACAGAUGCUCCAUGUUCUGAGAAGAUGAAGAGAACAACUGUAUGAAACAGAGGUCGAAUACCUUAGCACAUCUAGAGAAAGUGUGAACAUACAACCAGUUGAGCUCCAGAAGAAUAAAAUAAAAUGUUGAGAGGCUAUAAUUAAAUAGAUAUUAGCUGAGGACUUUAUAUAAUUGAAGAAAACCACAAAAUCACCAAACAAAAUAAGUUAGAAUACACACUAUUGUGAAACUAAAAAAUAUCAAAUACAGAGAUAAAGAUCCUAGAGGGAAAAAAGCGAGAGAGAAAAUAGACGUCACCUAUAACUAUAACAACAACGGAAUGAGGAGUAAAAUGGUGUAAUCAUUUCAGAGGGCAAAGAUUAAAUACAUACCACACAAUAUAUAUCAAAAGAUAUUAUCUCUUAAGAGCAAGAGAUAAAUUAAAAAUUGAGGCAAAAUAAGCAUAGCAUUUACUUUCAAUAUACUGGAAGUGAAAAAACUUACAAAGUAUGUAAUUUCAAGAAAAAUAAAUUAUUUUAUAAGGAAGGUUUGAAAUUCAAGAAGCAAUGGUGAAUAUUUGUAUUAUGAAGAUAAAUGUAAUAAAAGUCUCUUGGACUAUAAAAUCUUAUAAUAACAUGUAAUUUUGAGAACUUGGAGAAAGAACUAUAUUAGUAAUACCAUUAUUGUGAGGUUUAAAUGUUAUAGGGAUUGCAAAACUUCAUAUUAUAUUUUUCUCUAAAAAACUUUU